rnacentral:rRNA from 1 species
AUUGAACGCUGGCGGCAUGCCUUACACAUGCAAGUCGAACGGUAACGGGCCUUCGGGUGCCGACGAGUGGCGAACGGGUGAGUAAUACAUCGGAACGUGCCCGAUCGUGGGGGAUAACGAGGCGAAAGCUUUGCUAAUACCGCAUACGAUCUACGGAUGAAAGCAGGGGACCGCAAGGCCUUGCGCGGACGGAGCGGCCGAUGGCAGAUUAGGUAGUUGGUGGGAUAAAAGCUUACCAGGCCGACGAUCUGUAGCUGGUCUGAGAGGAUGAUCAGCCACACUGGGACUGAGACACGGCCCAGACUCCUACGGGAGGCAGCAGUGGGGAAUUUUGGACAAUGGGCGCAAGCCUGAUCCAGCCAUGCCGCGUGCAGGAUGAAGGCCUUCGGGUUGUAAACUGCUUUUGUACGGAACGAAAAGCCUUCUUUUAAUACAGGAGGGUCAUGACGGUACCGUAAGAAUAAGCACCGGCUAACUACGUG